GAGUCCUGGCUCAGGAUGAACGCUAGCUACAGGCUUAACACAUGCAAGUCGAGGGGCAGCAUUAUCGAAGCUUGCUUUGAUAGAUGGCGACCGGCGCACGGGUGAGUAACGCGUAUCCAACCUUCCCCAUAGUAGGGCAUAGCCCGUAGAAAUGCGGAUUAAUACCCUAUGUAUUCCGAGGAUGACAUCUGAUUCGGAACAAAGGUUCACCGCUAUGGGAUGGGGAUGCGUCUGAUUAGGUAGUAGGCGGGGUAACGGCCCACCUAGCCGACGAUCAGUAGGGGUUCUGAGAGGAAGGUCCCCCACAUUGGAACUGAGACACGGUCCAAACUCCUACGGGAGGCAGCAGUGAGGAAUAUUGGUCAAUGGGCGAGAGCCUGAACCAGCCAAGUAGCGUGCAGGAAGACGGCCCUAUGGGUUGUAAACUGCUUUUAUACAGGGAUAAAGUCGGGGACGUGUUCCCCGUUUGCAGGUACUGUAUGAAUAAGGACCGGCUAAUUCCGUGCCAGCAGCGGC
rnacentral:rRNA from 1 species